CACGGGAGCAAUCCUGGUGGCGAGUGGCGAACGGGUGAGUAAUAUAUCGGAACGUGCCCAGUCGUGGGGGAUAACGCAGCGAAAGCUGUGCUAAUACCGCAUACGAUCUCUGGAUGAAAGCGGGGGACCUGCAAGGGCCUCGCGCGAUUGGAGCGGCCGAUAUCAGAUUAGCUAGUUGGUGGGGUAAAAGCUCACCAAGGCGACGAUCUGUAGCUGGUCUGAGAGGACGACCAGCCACACUGGAACUGAGACACGGUCCAGACUCCUACGGGAGGCAGCAGUGGGGAAUUUUGGACAAUGGGCGCAAGCCUGAUCCAGCAAUGCCGCGUGCAGGAUGAAGGCCUUCGGGUUGUAAACUGCUUUUGUACGGAACGAAAAGGCUCUUUUUAAUAAAGAGGGCUCAUGACGGUACCGUAAGAAUAAGCACCGGCUAACUACGUGCCAGCAGCCGCGGUAAUACGUAGGGUGCGAGCGUUAAUCGGAAUUACUGGGCGUAAAGCGUGCGCAGGCGGUUUUGUAAGACAGAUGUGAAAUCCCCGGGCUCAACCUGGGACCUGCAUUUGUGACUGCAAGGCUAGAGUACGGUAGAGGGGGAUGGAAUUCCGCGUGUAGCAGUGAAAUGCGUAGAUAUGCGGAGGAACACCGAUGGCGAAAGCAAUCCCCUGGACCUGUACUGACGCUCAUGCA
rnacentral:rRNA from 1 species